GACGAACGCUGGCGGCGUGCUUAACACAUGCAAGUCGAACGGUGAAGCGCCUUCCUUUUUGGUGGGUGUGGAUGAGUGGCGAACGGGUGAGUAACACGUGAGUAACCUGCCCCCUUCUUCUGGAUAACCGCAUGAAAGUGUGGCUAAUACGGGAUAUUCUGGGUCUGUCGCAUGAUGGGUCUGGGAAAGAUAUUGUUUCGGUGGGGGAUGGGCUCGCGGCCUAUCAGCUUGUUGGGGGGGUGAUGGCCUACCAAGGCGGUGACGGGUAGCCGGCCUGGGAGGGUGGACGGUCACACUGGGACGGAGACACGGCCCAGACUCCUACGGGGGGCAGCAGUGGGGAAUAUUGCACAAUGGGCGAAAGCCUGAUGCAGCGACGCCGCGUGAGGGAUGGAGGCCUUCGGGUUGUGAACCUCUUUCGCCAGUGAAGCAGGCCUGCCUCGUUUGUGGGUGGGUUGACGGUAGCUGGAGAAGAAGCGCCGGCUAACUACGUG
rnacentral:rRNA from 1 species